AAUAAUGCAACAGUCGAUCAGGACGUAGCCAUCAAUACCAGUGGUGUCCCUGUAAUAGUGAGAUUUUUGAAUCAGGACUAGCUCCACAAAGAGUUCAUUACAGUUAGUUUCUUGUAUGAUGGGGGACUAGGAUGCAGAACAAGGCCUAAUUGAUUGGAAGAGACAUGGAUAAUGAUUCUAGAGACAGCGUAAAUGGUCCUGCAUCGAUGACGCAAACAGGCGGCCAACUAAACGAGGGUAGCCCCGACGCUCUCCGAAACAAAGACCACCACGGGGAACCUACCUGGCAGAACACCCUAUUGCACCUUGGAGGACCCGUGGCUCGUCUUUGGAAAAAACUAAGGACACGCAAGAAAGACGGAAGAAGAAACGUCACCAACGGGGCGACGUUGAUUGUGGUUAUCUCCGCUGUUCUGCUCACCGUCGGGCUGGGGCUUAUUCUCACCAUUUGGUCUCCUUUUGUCGCAAAUUCUACCAAGAGACCCUCCAUUGAUGGGCCUAUGCCUGCUCCCGACAGUGCCACAUUUGAAACACCUGUGAUUGGUCCCGUUGAAGUGAAUUUGACCUUAGAAAUCGACCAGAAAUUCAAAGAAGAGUAUUACUACCCCACUUCGGCAGGUUACAAAGAGCUAGAAGCCAUGAUUCUUACAACGAUUGACAGCAUAUUCAUGAACAGUGACACGAGUAGUGCGUAUGAAGGCUCGAAAGUUGUUGGCUUCCGAAAUGGAAGCGUCCUUGCCACCGUCCUCAGUCGCUUUAGACAAGCCGUCGUUCCUGCCUCUCAAAACCCCUCAGACUUGAAUGCAGUCUUAGACACGUUUGUCGAGUACGUUCAGAGCCUCCUCGAGAGCUUGACCAGUCAACUUGGGUGCUGUGGUGGCCUUCAGUUCAUCUCGAUCAUAAUCAAUGGAGCAAACAUAAAAUCGCCGUUCGUUGGUGUGUCUGAAACAACUCUACCACCGCAAUCUGUAGGUUCCACAACCGAUCCAUCAACUGCUAGACUGACUGACCAACAGACUGAUCCAUUAACUACCGACCCAACACAUCCACCGACUGCUGCACCGACUGAUCAACCAUCUCAUCCACAAAGUGUAGGAUCAACCCAUAUUUCAAAUGUACAACCGACUGAUUCUACGACUACGCUACAGCCUUACACGCAAACUGAGGAGGCGCUAACUGUUGCUCCGAGUGCAUCACCAACCAGUGCACCAACUGAUGGUCCAAUUGAACCACCAAUUGAUCCAACUAGCGAAGCACUAACUAAUCUGUCGACUUAUCAACCAACACCUCCAACUAGUCCAACAUCUGCCCUAACUGAGUCAUCAACAUAUUUCCAAACAGAUGGCUGUGUCAACUCCUGCUUAAACAACGGAACAUGUGAACCAGUCGGGUGGACCGGUUUCACCUGCGAAUGCUCUGCCGGUUUUGGAGGCUUAAGGUGUGAAAAGGAGUUGAUUACCAUCAAUCUUGGAACGAACGAGUCGACCCUAGUAAGCUCUCCAUCCUAUCCCAACAACUACCCGAACAAUCUGGAUGUCGUUUGGAUAAUCCAAACGGUAGGCAAUUGGAGGAUUCUCAUUGAGUUCAUCGCUUUCAACACGGAGAGUCGUUACGAUUUCCUUCAGGCCGGGGAUGGGGGGAAUUUUUCAAAUUCCUCCACAGCUUUGUUCCGCGUGAGUGGAAGCAAUCUGCCAACUCGUCUCUUGUCCGUCGGGAACGUCAUGUGGCUGAGAUUCAUGUCAGAUCAGAGUGUCAACAUGAGUGGGUUUUCCUUGUCGGCUCAAAGCGUCUCCUCAAGUGGCUGUGUAUUUAAUUCCUGCUUGAACAACGGGACAUGUGAGCCAGUCGGGAGAUUCGAUUUCAGCUGCGCUUGCCCUGCUGGGUUUCAAGGCAUUGUAUGUGAAACAGAAACCUUCUUUGUGAGUGUGAAUGAGUCUUCUCAAAUUACCUCGCCAUCCUAUCCAUCAAGCUACCCAAACCAUACACGCCUCGUCUGGAUCCUUCAAGCCAUGCCCAACAGGAAAAUUGUCAUCACUUUCGUUGCCUUCAACACGGAGCGUGGUUUCGAUUUCCUUGAAGCUGGUGAUGGAUCAGAUAGCACCAACUUCUCCAAUAGGUUCUUUCGUUGGAGUGGGUCUUAUAAACCACCUGAACUAUUGUCCAAUCAGAACGCCAUGUGGUUGAGGUUCACAUCGGAUGGGAGUGUCAGUCACGCUGGGUUUACUCUGUUGGCGCGAAGUGUCCCAUCCAAUGAAACAUUGACCUGUUCUGACGGUGAACUUGACUGUGGCCAUUCGGUUUGCGUCAGUGACUCUUUACGAUGUGACGGGUAUUACGACUGUAUUGACACAAGCGACGAAAUAUCCUGUGACUGUGAUAGCAUCUUCUGCCAGAACAAUGGAACCUGUAUGCUAUUCCCAAGUGGUUAUUUUAGAUGCCUUUGCUCCCAAGGAUUUGCAGGAAGAUUCUGCGAAAAAGCUUUCGUUGAGUGUGAGGCAUUUCCGUUCAUUUUUCAAGAAUCUGACAGAUGUGAUGGAAGGAUUACAUGUCCAAACGGCGAUGACGAAAAGGGUUGUGUUUGUUUUGUAGAUUGCAGUGGGGAUGAUUACCUGUGUCGUGAUAGCAUCUGCGUGAGUCGAGCCGAUGUGGAAUGUAAUGGUGUACCAGAUUGUCUGGAUUAUUCAGAUGAAGGAGUUACCUGCAAUGCUGCCUACUGCGUGGAAAUUCAGAGUGAAGUGUGCUCAGCUAUUCUGACUUACAAUACCACCUACUUCCCGAACGACUUCGUGAAAUCCCAUCGACAAGCGAAUGACCUCAUUACUCAACAUCUGCCUCAACUCACGGUCAACUGCACCGAUAGCGAGAGACUUGCUCUGUGUAUGUCGUUCUUCCCGGAGUGUCCUCAGUUUGGUUCUGAUCGAAGAGUCUGUGCCACAUUAUGCACGAGAGCUUUGGAAUGUGUCGGCCUCGACAGAAACUCUAACACUACAACUUUGCCGUGUGAUGUAUAUCCAGACCGUGGAGUCCUGUCAACUUCAGAUGGUUGUUUUUACAACAGCGAAGAUGUGUUACAAGCAGGAGACUGUGGGCGUCGACCAGCAGCCUCGCCUUCUCUUAAUCCUUUCAGUCGUAUCGUUGGUGGAGCUCAGACGCACAUUGCCAACUGGCCUUGGAUUGGUUCAUAUCGACACGCUAGUGAAUCGCAUGGAUGUGGAGUAUCACUAAUCAGUAGAUAUUGGGCAGUCACAGCAGCACACUGCAGCCAUCUGCAUCACGUAGUAUUUGGCAGUUCGACCUUGGAUAUUCCAUUCAACUACCCACACGUCCAUAGGGUUAGCAAAGUAUUUAAUCAUCCCAGAUAUGACGAUCAGUGGUACUACCACGACAUCGCGCUCCUGAAACUGGCCUCCCCCGUACGAUAUACGGAAACCAUCCAACCAAUCUGCUUGCAAAUUGCUGACAAUGAAACUGAGGUCUACGACAGGUGCCAUGCAAUGGGUUGGGGCCGAACUUCAUAUGAAGGUACAUGACUAUACAAUUGGGAGGCAAAACACUUUCACCAACCACAUCGUCCUCGAACCCGUUGUCCCGUUCUAGGAUUAUUUCUCCCAUCUUGAAAGAAGCACGUGUCCCGCUAUUGGGUUGGGAGCAAUGUAACAACAACACUGGAACUCGUGG
rnacentral:misc_RNA from 1 species